GUGCUUACCUGGCAGGGGAGAUAGAUACCCUGAUGACAAAGGCCCUUUUCCCAGGCGUUGCUUGUCCAUUGUACUCCAGAUAUGCUAACCCCUGUGGUUUUCCCAAAUGUGGGAAACUGGGCUGCAUAAUUUGCGAUAGUGGGGAAUUGUUUUUGUGCUGUCCCCUG